rnacentral:rRNA from 1 species
GACGGAGGGUGCUAGCGUUGUUCGGAAUCACUGGGCGUAAAGGGUGCGUAGGCGGCGCGGUAAGUCGGGUGUGAAAUCUCGGAGCUUAACUCCGAAACUGCAUUCGAUACUGGCGUGCUUGAGGACUGGAGAGGAGACUGGAAUUUACGGUGUAGCAGUGAAAUGCGUAGAUAUCGUAAGGAAGACCAGUGGCGAAGGCGGGUCUCUGGACAGUUCCUGACACUGAGACACGAAGGCCAGGGGAGCAAACGGG